rnacentral:rRNA from 1 species
GAUGAACGCUGGCGGCGUGCCUAAUACAUGCAAGUCGAGCGAACGGACGAGAAGCUUGCUUCUCUGAUGUUAGCGGCGGACGGGUGAGUAAUACGUGGAUAACCUACCUAUAAGACUGGGAUAACUUCGGGAAACCGGAGCUAAUACCGGAUGAUAUUUUGAAUCGCAUGGUUCAAAAGUGAAAGACGGCCUUGCUGUCCCUUAUAGAUGGUUCCGCGCUGCAUUAGCUAGUUGGUAAGGUAACGGCUUACCAAGGCAACGAUGCGUAGCCGACCUGAGAGGAUGAUCAGCCACACUGGAACUGAGACACGGUCCAGACUCCUACGGGAGGCAGCAGUGGGGAAUAUUCGGCAAUGGGCGAAAGCCUGACGGAGCAACGCCGCGUGAGUGAUGAAGGUCUUCGGAUCGUAAAGCGCUGUUAUUAGGGAAGAACAGAUGUGUAAGUAACUGUGCACGUCUUGACGGUACCUAAUCAGAAAGCCACGGCUAACUACGUG